rnacentral:rRNA from 1 species
AGAGUUUGAUCCUGGCUCAGAGUGAACGCUGGCGGCAGGCCUAACACAUGCAAGUCGAACGGCAGCACAGCAGUAGCAAUACUGUGGGUGGCGAGUGGCGGACGGGUGAGGAAUGCGUCGGAAUCUGCCUUUUUGUGGGGGAUAACGUAGGGAAACUUACGCUAAUACCGCAUACGACCUACGGGUGAAAGUGGGGGACCUUCGGGCCUCACGCAGAAAGAUGAGCCGACGCCGGAUUAGCUAGUUGGCGGGGUAAAGGCCCGCCAAGGCGACGAUCCGUAGCUGGUCUGAGAGGAUGAUCAGCCACACUGGGACUGAGACACGGCCCAGACUCCUACGGGAGGCAGCAGUGGGGAAUAUUGGACAAUGGGCGCAAGCCUGAUCCAGCCAUGCCGCGUGUGUGAAGAAGGCCUUCGGGUUGUAAAGCACUUUUGUCCGGAAAGAAAAGCUUCGGGUUAAUAACCUGGAGUCAUGACGGUACCGG